AAAACAUUUGGUUCAACUUUCAACAAGUUGCCUACGGCCAUUGGUAAUCUAAAACAUUUGGUUCAACUUUCAGUAAGUAGGACAAAUAUUAAAGAACUACCUGAUGGUGUAGGGCAGUUAGAGAAGCUUGAGAAAUUAGAUGUUUCAGAUUGCAGUAAUCUGGUGAGGCUACCAACCUCAAUGUGUAGAAUGAGGAGUUUGACUUACUUUGACAUGAAAGAUACUAUGAUUGUAAAAUUACCAGAUGAUUUUUCAAAGCUCUCGAGCUUAGAGGUGUUAAGAAUGGGCAUGGUGGAUCUAGAUGAUGAUGAAUCAGAUGACUACAAAAGGAGGAGGCUUCAUCCACUCCAAAUCAACAAGAGUAAUUUUCCUUGUCAGCUGCAGGAGCUAUAUUUGGAAGGCUACAUGAACCUUGAAUCUCUCCCAGAGCUUCCCUCCACUUUAACUCGUCUGGAAGUUAAGGAGUGUUUUUCACUGCAGAUAAUUUCAGAUCUAUCACACUUGGAAUUGUUGAAGGAAUUAUUACUUAUUUAUUGCGAAUCAUUGGUAAGAUUACCGAAUAUGUCAAACCUUAAAAAAUUGAGGAAAUUGUGGAUUAAAAGUUGUGAAAAUUUAGAGGAAAUUCCCGGGCUUGAUGGAACAGAAUCCUUGGAAGUGUUGGAAGUGGAACAUUGCCCGAAA